UCCAGAAAGCAUCUCGCUGUGGAAGCAUAGUUAUUUUUCUUCUCCCUUUUUGAAAGAUCUCUCCUUUUGAUGCCAGUUUUCUUCCUUGUUUACACAAGUUCAACAAUUGGAAAGGAAAAGGCAAUAGUAAGGGUUUCAAAAUGGCAGAAAAAUUUGAAAGUCUCACGAACAUUCAUGGUUUUGAUCUGGGCUCUAGGUAUCUGGACUUAAAACCAUUGGGUUGUGGAGGCAAUGGCUUGGUUUUUUCAGACAAUGACUGUGACAAAAGGGUAGCCAUCAAGAAGAUUGUUCUUACUGACCCCCCAGAGUGUCAGGCAUGCCCUCUGUGAAAUCAAAAUUAUUCGAAGACUUGACCAUGACAACAUUGUGAAAAUGUUUGAAAUUCUUGGUCCCACACAGACUUGGCUCAUGUGCUAGAGCAGGGCCCUCUCCUGGAGGAGCAUGCCAGGCUCUUCAUGUACCAGCUGCUGCGCGGGCUCAAGUACAUUCAUUCUGCAAUCGUACUGUACAGAGAUCUCAAACCAGCUAAUCUUUUCAUCAAUACGGAAGACUUGGUGCUGAAGAUAGGUGACUUUGGUCUUGCGCGGAUCAUGGAUCCUCAUUAUUCCCAUAAGGGUCAUCUUUCGGAAGGAUUGGUUACUAAAUGGUACAGAUCCCCACGUCUUUUACUUUCUCCUAACAAUUAUAUUAAAGCCAUUGACAUGUGGGCUGCAGGCUGCAUCUUUGCUGAAAUGCUGACUGGUAAAAUCCUCUUUGCAGGUGCACAUGAACUUGGACAGACGCAACUGAUUUUAGAAUCUAUUCCUGUCGUCCAUGAGGAGGAUCCUCAGGAGCUUCUCAGCGUAAUUCCCGUUUACAUUAGAAAUGACACGACUGAGCCACACAAACCCUUAACUCAGCUCUUUCCCAGAAUUAGCUGAGAAGCACUGGGUUUCCUGGAGCAGAUUCUGGCCUUUAGCCCCGUGGAUGACUUGACUGUGGAGGAAGUGCUCUCUCAUCCCUACAUGAGUAUUUCCUCCUUCCCCACAUACGAGCCCAUCUCCAGCCAUCCUUUUCACAUUGAAGAUGAAGUGGAUAUUUUGCUUAUGGAUGAAAUUCAGUCACAUUUAUAACUGGGAAAGGUACCAUGACUGUCAGUUUUCUGAGCAUGAUUGGCCUAUACACAACAAUUUUGAUAUUGAAGAAGUUCAGCUUGACCUGAGAGCUCUGUCUGAUGUCAUGACGAAGAGGUGCAAGUGGACCCUCAGAAAUACUUGGAGACCCAGAGAAGUAUCUGGAGGACCUUGCUUUCAAAACCCAUUACUCCACACAGCCCUGCUGGCAGUACCUGGACCACCACGAGAACAAGUACUGCGACCUGAAGUGUAGCCAUACCUGUAACUACAAAAUGAGGUCGUCCUGGUACCUUGACAACUUAGUGUGGAGAGAGCGAGGUUAACCAUUAUUACGAGCCCAAGCUUAUUAUUGACCUUUCCAACUGGAAAGAACAAAGCAAGACAAAUUGGAUAGGAGAGGCAAGUCCAAAUGUGGGCAGAAAGGAUUGGUGAAGGUCCAGAUAGUGUUAGAGGAAGCCUCCCAGCAGUGGGCUGAGAAGGAGAGGGAGAAGAAGCAGGGGUUUGAUUUCAAGUACUUCAUUGCAGGAACUAUUCAGCUCAGCUCGCAGCAUGAGCCCACUGCUCAUGUUGUUGACAAGUUAAAUGACCUGAACAGCUCCGUGUCCCAGCUAGAAUUGAAAAGUCUGAUAGAAAAGUCAGUGAUCCAGGAGAAGCAGGAGAAGGGGAUGGCGAACCUGGCGCAGCUGGGGGCCUGGUACCAGUCGUCCUGGGACAGCCAGUUUGUGGGCAGCGGGGAGGAGUGCUUCCCAUCAGUCAGUUCUGCUGCGAGGUCAGGAAGGACCAGCAGGCGGAGAAGGAAAACACGUCCACCACCUACUGGAGUGCUAGAAACUGAGCCAGAGGAAGAAGGCAGGCUCGGGGCCAGCCACAGCGGGGAAUUCCUCUUUAACAAGCAGCUCCAGUCCAUAGGCAGCCCCCAGUUUCCCAGCCCCAUGGGGUCACCACUUCAGUGCAGGCCACCUAAACACCUUCUGCUCUGAAAUCCUCCCCUCAAAUUCCUCACAAGACACACAGCAGCAUUCUGAAACACCUGAACUAA